CGAGCCGAUAUGAUGACCGCGGGUGCCAGGCCGAAAGGCGGCAUCUGAGGAAAGUCCGAGCUGCAUAGAGCAGGGUGCUGGAUAACGUCCAGUGGGGGCGACCCUAAGGAAAGUGCCACAGAAAACAAACCGCCUAAAGCGUCGCUUUAGGUAAGGAUGAAACGGUGCGGUAAGAGCGCACCAGAGGCCAGGUGACUGGUCUGCUUGGUAAACCCCACCCGCAGCAAGACCGAAUAGGGGCAGGAUGAAGUUGCUCGCUGAGCUGCCCGGGUAGGUCGCUUGAGGCGACAGGUAACUGUCGUCCCAGAUAAAUGGUCAUCCACGACAGAACUCGGCUUAUAAGUUGACUCGCAAA
rnacentral:RNase_P_RNA from 1 species